GUGGUGGGGACACCAAGGUGGCACCUGCUGGAACUUGGAGGACCCCAAGGUGGGACCUGGAGGAGAUCUGGGGUCACCAAAGUGGGACCUGGAAAUGGUGGGGGCACCAAGGGGGUCAUAGUGGAAGUUGGAGGUCACCAAGGUGGGACCUGGUGGAUCUGAAGAAGAUUGAGGGGCACCAAGGUGGGACCUGGAGAAGGUUUGGGGUCACCAAGGUGGGACCUGCUGGAGAUUGGUGUCACCAAGGUGGGACCUGAUGGACAUUGGGGUCACCAAGGUGGAACCUUGAGGA
rnacentral:lncRNA from 1 species